UCUUCAAGUCGCAGGGCUUCUUAUUUAAAAAUUUUCCCCUGGGCAAUAAGCUUAUUCACAAGCCUCUAUGCAAUUCCGUACUGCAUUUCUGUCAUAUUUGGCGGAAAAUGUUUCAGCAGAAUAGCUUUCAGACACAAUUUGUUAUUACAGCACAAGAAUUUUUGGAGAUUUGAUAAGUCAAAAAUGUAUGCGUAAGUCUUUUGAACGAAUUUUAACCAAAAAUCAAAAGCAAUGAUUAAGUGAAAUUACACAACAAGAAGGCUAGAGGCGUUUAAAGUGUACAUAUAUUUAAUCAAGAUCUAACUUUAUAGAUAGAGCCUUAGCCAAAUGUGAAAAUAACGAAAAUAAUAAGUUCUAACACUGCAGUUUUUAUAGAUUUCAAACGUCCACCAUUUUCCAUUUUAAUUUUAAAUCCCGUUCUAAAUUUGAAUGUUUGAAAUCGUUAUUAGUAAUUCGGGGCGCAUUAGUGGUAACUAUGGCUAGUUUUAUGUGUAUGGGAGAAGUUUUUUUCUUACUCUCAACUUCGCGGGGGAACUUCGGCUCGAACAUCCAACCUAGGUUUGAUAUAACACAACCUGUGUGUUUGGUACCAUCAAGACAAAAAUAACACUGAUCGAGCAAAACUUAUCUUGUCUCGGUUUCUUUGUUGUCUCUGAAGAUUUGACUGCCAUAAAAAAUAUUAAUCGAGAUUCUUUUGUUAUGUUAAUUUAAAGCUUUGUAAUAUUGUCUCGUUUAAUAUGCUUAAAUGUCACUGCAGCCCACGUGAAUUUAUCUUCAAGAAAAAGUUUGUUUUUCUUUGUCCAAGUUGUUUCGAAACUUGUUAACAAUCAUUUGUUAUCAAACCAUGCACCAUCAGCAUUUUCGAAAAAUCUUCAACGAGAGAAAUUUUUUAAGGAUUUUAUUGGUAACUUAACGGAGUAAUAAUUCAUUGAAAUUUUUCAGAAGUUAUUAUAUAUAUUCGAAUCGUGAAGUUCAUACAUAGCAAUCCUGCAUCCUGGAAUUUUCGAGAUCAGUUAUAAAAAAAUCCAGUUAAAGUUUAACUAUUGUUUUAGAAUAUAUACUAUAUAUAUGUAAAAAAAAUUAUUUUUUAUUUAUCAAGUUGUAUUUUACGUUAAUUACAAUAAUAAUUGAGAAUUAGGAUA